rnacentral:rRNA from 1 species
CACACUAUCAUUACGUGAAUACAUAGCGUAAUGAAGCGAACCGGGGGAACUGAAACAUCUAAGUACCCCGAGGAAAAGAAAUCAACCGAGAUUCCCCCAGUAGCGGCGAGCGAACGGGGAGCAGCCCAGAGUCUGAAUCAGCAUGUGUGUUAGUGGAAGCGUCUGGAAAGUCGCACGAUACAGGGUGAAAGUCCCGUACACAAAAGUGCAUGUGUUGUGAACUCGAAGAGUAGGGCGGGACACGUGGUAUCCUGUCUGAAUAUGGGGGGACCAUCCUCCAAGGCUAAAUACUCCUGACUGACCGAUAGUGAACCAGUACCGUGAGGGAAAGGCGAAAAGAACCCCGGCGAGGGGAGUGAAAAAGAACCUGAAACCGUGUACGUACAAGCAGUGGGAGCACCCUUUGGGGUGUGACUGCGUACCUUUUGUAUAAUGGGUCAGCGACUUAUAUUCUGUAGCAAGGUUAACCGAAUAGGGGAGCCGAAGGGAAACCGAGUCUUAACUGGGCGUUAAGUUGCAGGGUAUAGACCCGAAACCCGGUGAUCUAGCCAUGGGCAGGUUGAAGGUUGGGUAACACUAACUGGAGGACCGAACCGACUAAUGUUGAAAAAUUAGCGGAUGACUUGUGGCUGGGGGUGAAAGGCCAAUCAAACCGGGAGAUAGCUGGUUCUCCCCGAAAGCUAUUUAGGUAGCGCCUCGUGAAUUCAUCUUCGGGGGUAGAGCACUGUUUCGGCUAGGGGGUCAUCCCGACUUACCAACCCGAUGCAAACUGCGAAUACCGAAGAAUGUUAUCACGGGAGACACACGGCGGGUGCUAACGUCCGUCGUGAAGAGGGAAACAACCCAGACCGCCAGCUAAGGUCCCAAAGUCAUGGUUAAGUGGGAAACGAUGUGGGAAGGCACAGACAGCCAGGAUGUUGGCUUAGAAGCAGCCAUCAUUUAAAGAAAGCGUAAUAGCUCACUGGUCGAGUCGGCCUGCGCGGAAGAUGUAACGGGGCUAAACCAUGCACCGAAGCUGCGGCAGCGACACUAUGUGUUGUUGGGUAGGGGAGCGUUCUGUAAGCCGUUGAAGGUGUA